AUACGGAGGACGCGAGCGUUAUCCGGAUUCAUUGGGUUUAAAGGGUGCGCAGGCGGCCGUGCAAGUCAGCGGUGAAAGCCCGGGGCUCAACCCCGGAAGUGCCGUUGAUACUGCAUGGCUGGAAUGCGGUCGAGGCGGGCGGAACACGGCGGGUAGCGGUGAAAAGCGUAGAUAUGCCGCAGAACGCCGAUAGCGGAGGCAGGUCGCCAGGCCUGUAUUGACGCUCGGGCACGAAGGCGUGGGGAUCGAACAGGAUUAGAUACCCUGGUAGUCCACGCCGUAAACGAUGGGCGCUCGUCGUCGGCGGCAGACAGUCGGCGGCCAAGCGAAAGCGAUAAGCGCCCCACCUGGGGAGUACGGUCGCAAGGCUGAAACUCAAAUGAAUGGACGGGG
rnacentral:rRNA from 1 species